rnacentral:rRNA from 1 species
UACGAGGGGUGCAAGCGUUGCUCGGAAUUAUUGGGCGUAAAGGGUAGUUCGGUGGUCUCAUUUGUCAGGGGUGAAAGCCUUGGGCUUAACCCAAGAAGUGCCCUUGAAACGGUGAGACUGGAGUCUUGGAGAGGGUCGUGGAAUUCCCGGUGUAGCGGUGAAAUGCGUAGAGAUCGGGAGGAACACCAGAGGCGAAGGCGGCGACCUGGACAAGUACUGACACUCAACUACGAAAGCGUGGGUAGCAAACAGG